rnacentral:rRNA from 1 species
AAUGAACGCUGGCGGCGCGCCUAAUACAUGCAAGUCGAGCGAGAAGACGUAGCAAUACGUUUGUAAAGCGGCGAACGGGUGAGGAAUACAUGGGUAACCUACCCUCGAGUGGGGAAUAACUAGCCGAAAGGUUAGCUAAUACCGCGUACGCUCCUUGGACUUCGGUUCAGGGAGGAAAGGCGAAUACCGUGGGUAUCGCGCUCUUGGUUGGGGCUCAUGUCCUAUCAGCUUGUUGGUGAGGUAACGGCUCACCAAGGCUUCGACGGGUAGCUGGUCUGAGAGGACGAUCAGCCACACUGGCACUGCGACACGGGCCAGACUCCUACGGGGAGGCAGCAGUGGGGAAUUGUUCGCAAUGGGCGCAAGCCUGACGACGCAACGCCGCGUGGAGGAUGAAGGUCUUCGGAUUGUAAACUCCUGUUGCCCGGGACG